AUUGAACGCUGGCGGCAGGCCUAACACAUGCAAGUCGAGCGGAUGAGUGGAGCUUGCUCCAUGAUUCAGCGGCGGACGGGUGAGUAAUGCCUAGGAAUCUGCCUGGUAGUGGGGGACAACGUUUCGAAAGGAACGCUAAUACCGCAUACGUCCUACGGGAGAAAGCAGGGGACCUUCGGGCCUUGCGCUAUCAGAUGAGCCUAGGUCGGAUUAGCUAGUAGGUGAGGUAAUGGCUCACCUAGGCGACGAUCCGUAACUGGUCUGAGAGGAUGAUCAGUCACACUGGAACUGAGACACGGUCCAGACUCCUACGGGAGGCAGCAGUGGGGAAUAUUGGACAAUGGGCGAAAGCCUGAUCCAGCCAUGCCGCGUGUGUGAAGAAGGUCUUCGGAUUGUAAAGCACUUUAAGUUGGGUAGGAAGGGCAGUAAGUUAAUACCUUGCUGUUUUGACGUUUACCAACAGAAUAAGCACCGGCUAACUUCGUG
rnacentral:rRNA from 1 species